rnacentral:rRNA from 1 species
AUUGAACGCUGGCGGCAGGCCUAACACAUGCAAGUCGAGCGGAUGACAGGAGCUUGCUCCUGAAUUCAGCGGCGGACGGGUGAGUAAUGCCUAGGAAUCUGCCUGGUAGUGGGGGACAACGUUUCGAAAGGAACGCUAAUACCGCAUACGUCCUACGGGAGAAAGCAGGGGACCUUCGGGCCUUGCGCUAUCAGAUGAGCCUAGGUCGGAUUAGCUAGUUGGUGAGGUAAUGGCUCACCAAGGCGACGAUCCGUAACUGGUCUGAGAGGAUGAUCAGUCACACUGGAAAUGAGACACGGUCCAGACUCCUACGGGAGGCAGCAGUGGGGAAUAUUGGACAAUGGGNGAAAGCCUGAUCCAGCCAUGCCGCGUGUGUGAAGAAGGUCUUCGGAUUGUAAAGCACUUUAAGUUGGGAGGAAGGGCAGUAACUUAAUACGUUGNUGUGUNGACGUUACCGACAGAAUAAGCACCGG